rnacentral:lncRNA from 1 species
CCACCGCCGUUCCUUCCACAUGCGGGUGAGCCACCGAUACCUUUUGAGACAUGGCGGAAAUUCUUCGACAACUAUAUGCUCGUCAUUAACGCCAGCGGGGACGCCUGGCCAGAUGCAAGACGACGAGCAGUGCUUCUUCAUUGCUUGGGUCCGGAGGGACAAAGACUUUUCUACACUUUGCCAGCACAAGGUACGACGUAUGACGACGCUAUGGCUGCCCUCGUUAAGCACUUCGUCCCUAAAGUAAAUGUUGUAGCCUGCAGACAUACUUUCAGACAACGCACCCAACGACCGGAUGAAUCGGCAGUGCAGUAUGUGGCGGCUUUGAGAGCGUUAGCUUCACCGUGUGGGUUUGGACUGAUGGAGCAGGAGAUGAUACGUGAUCAGCUGAUUUCUAAUGCUUAUCUCACGGCUGUGAGAGACAAGUUGCUGUUGGAGGAUGACCUCACGCUGGAGAAUGCUCUUACAAUCGCAUGCCAGGUGGAGGCAGCGGUUAAAAAUGCUACACUGCUUUCUUCAACUAAGACAGUCCCGACUGCGCCAGUGCAAGCUGUUGGCGCGUCAAGGGGGCGUGUCCGAGGACAGAGAGGAGCUUGCGCAGCUACAGCCCCUGCUCCUGAACGGGAUAAAAAGAGGAAUGGAAACCAGCGGCAACGUAAGUGCUUCAGAUGUGGCUCCAAAAAGCAUUUAGCUAAUGAUACAAACUGUCCAGCUGUUUCAGUAAACUGUAAUAACUGCGGUAAAAAGGGACAUUUCGCCAAAGUUUGUAGCUCUGCUGCUAGUGAAAUAAGAGAGGUGGUUGUUCCAGAACUAGCCAUACUGCAGGUGAAAGAUGUGAAACAGACAGCAGCAACCUUUGACAAAAUUACCUGCAAUGUCCACAUUGAAGCACCUAAAGACAACUUUCAUGUCCUGGAGUUGAUUGUUGAUACUGGAGCAUCCGUAUCUAUCCUGCCAGAGACAAUGUACAGACAGUAUUUUGCAGACUGCUCGCUGACUGAACCUCAAGUCAAACUGGUCACUUAUGCUAAACGUGAAGUGCCUGUUGUUGGUUGCCUGCCAGCAACAGCAGCCAUUGCAGGGCAAGACAGCAGAGUUCCAGCCUCAUUCCACAUUGUUAAAGCUGGAUCACCUUUGAUGGGCCUGGACUUGAUUAAAGCACUCAGUGUCAACAUUAUUGGAGGCAAGGUGAACUACAGUGCAGAAACUGAUU